CUCCAGGGAACACCCCCAGCUCUCCCAGCCUGGCUCCAGAGCAGAGCAACUCCAGCCCUUGGAGCAGCUCCGUGGCCUCCUCUGGACCUGCUCCAAUGAUUCCAUGUCCUUAUCCUGAGACUCCAGGGGUGGAUUCAGUGCUCCAGGCUGGAUGUCACAAGGGCAGAGCACAGGGAGUGGAGUGUUUCUGUAGGUCAGACUUGCUCCAAGAUUCUGCAGAGAACAGCAGUGUUUGGGAAGGAGAAUAACCAGCAGCUGAAGAAAUUAAAUUUUAUGGGCUGUUUAGUGAAAAUAAAUGUAUUUACAUCCAUGAGACUGGA